rnacentral:rRNA from 1 species
ACUACGGGUGGCUGCAGUGGGGAAUAUUGGGCAAUGGAGGAAACUCUGACCCAGCAACGCAGCGUGAAUGAUGAAGGUCUUCGGAUUGUAAAGUUCUUUUCUAAGGGAAGAAGAAAGUGACGAUACCUUAGGAAUAAGCCUCGGCCAACGACGUGCCAGACGCCGAGGUAAUACGUAGGAGGCGAGCUGUAUCCGGAAUGACUGGGGGUAAAGGGUGCGUAGGUGGUUUGGAAAGUUAGUAGCGUAACUCCAAGGCUCAACCUUGGAAAUACUACUAAAACUGUUGGACUUGAGUGCAGGAGGGGCAACCGGAAUUCCUAGUGUAGCGGUGGAAUGCGUAGAUAUUAGGAGGAACACCAGUGGCGAAGGCGGGUUGCUAGACUGUAACUGACACUGAGGCACGAAAGCGUGGGGAGCAAACAGGAUUAGAUACCCUUGUAGUC